rnacentral:misc_RNA from 1 species
AUCAUUACUUUUUUUUUAAAGUAAAUAAAAAUAUAAGAGUGGGUUUUAAAUACAUUUUUGCUCCUAAAUGUGUACUCAUAGUCACCAAUUCGGCAGCCGAAUUGGUGACCUUAAGUACAAUAAUGAUCCUUCCGCAGGUUCACCUACGGAAA